rnacentral:rRNA from 1 species
GGACGAACGCUGGCGGCGUGCUUAACACAUGCAAGUCGAACGGUGAAGCGCUUUCCUUUUUGGUUGGUGUGGAUGAGUGGCGAACGGGUGAGUAACACGUGAGUAACCUGCCCCCUUCUUCUGGAUAACCGCAUGAAAGUGUGGCUAAUACGGGAUAUUCUGCGCCUGCUGCAUGGUGGGUGUGGGAAAGAUUGUGCCUUUGGGUGUUUUCGGUGGGGGAUGGGCUCGCGGCCUAUCAGCUUGCUGGUGGGGUGAUGGCCUACCAAGGCGGUGACGGGUAGCCGGCCUGGGAGGGUGGACGGUCACACUGGGACUGAGACACGGCCCAGACUCCUACGGGAGGCAGCAGUGGGGAAUAUUGCACAAUGGGCGCAAGCCUGAUGCAGCGACGCCGCGUGAGGGAUGGAGGCCUUCGGGUUGUGAACCUCUUUCGCCAGUGAAGCAGGCCUGCUCCUUGUGGGUGGGUUGACGGUAGCUGGAUAAGAAGCGCCGGCUAACUACGUG